GUCAGUAAGAAAAAUAGAAAUUGUAUUAUCCAAUCCAAUAGCUGUCAUUCAUUCUAUGUCACCCUGACAUUGUAGAUGCUUUUUAAAGAGGACGCAGAGUUUCAUACUGGUAUUAUGUUCACUUUACGACUUUUAGGAAUGCAAAUGAAGUAAUAAAUUAUCGCGGAGAAUAGCAUAAAGUCGCAUAGAUAGGCGGUCUGAUGCACCUGUAUUUUUCGAGUGAUUUUAAAUUUCGCGCAUUUACGCCGGUCAAGUUGGUACUCAACUCCAGUGCAAGAUGGCGUGUUUAUAGAGAGUGGUUUGCAAGUUCUGUGUGUGAAAGUAUGUUUUCUGGUGCUUGUUUUACGGAUUUACGGUCGCAGUUUAUCAACAGUGGCAGCAUAAGAUUUGUUAUCAGUUUAUUGAAACGGAUAUCCAGUGAAGACUUUGAAAGUGGAAUGCGGCUUUGCAACUGACGACGGAAGGCCAGUCUGAGUGUGCUGAAAUCUAUGUCCGCGUGCAUCGGGGAACUUGAAAUCGAAGCGGACAUGACAUCUACUCGAAGAACAUAUUCAGGCAGAAAAAUCCAGGACUUUUCCCAGAAGACCUACAACGUUCGAAACACAGCCCACGAUUACGAACAGAAGGGGAACUCUUCCAGCACAUCGUCCUCCAACUGGUACUACCCUGCUGUGUGCCUGGAAGGACUGAGGAAACCCCAGAACAGCGCUGUGAAGAAGAAAGAAUGCUGACCGCUCGGAAGCGACGUUGGUGCGUGCAAU